rnacentral:sRNA from 16 species
CUCAUCACAACAAACCCAGAUCUGUGUCCAGCAGUCCUGAUCCAACCAGAGUAUUCGUGCUCUGGUUGUGUUUCGGUUGUUAUUGCUGGACAGCUCGACGAUUCAUGGAGCCAUCAAGGAUUACCCCUCAAAUGGUGUCAAUUUCCGGUCGACAGAUCUCAGAGAGAACCUCAGCGGCCCAGUUUUUCCUUUUUUGCCUUGUGUGAAAGGGAAUUUAACACUCUGCCUUGAGCUCCCUCCCCGUUUCGACGGGCUGGUGAAUUCGGUAAGGUGGCUGGGUUCC